AAGUCGUAACAAGGUUUCCGUAGGUGAACCUGCGGAAGGAUCAUUAUAGAAUUUUAAGAUUGAAGGUUGUGCUGGCUUUUCGGAGCAUGUGCACGCCUUUGGUCGAAAUCUUCUCCUUCAACCACUGUGCACCUUUUGUGGAAUCUGUUGCAGAAAAUGCGAAUGGAGACUAUGCGCGCUUAACCCCGCGCUCGUCUUGUUAAAGUGCAUAUAUGCGCAGGUUUCACGUCUUAUUACACACUAUAUAAACCAACCUCAGAAUGUAUCGUAUAGAGUUGGGACUCCGCGCGCCCUUCUUUACACAAUGUCUAUACAACUUUCGACAACGGAUCUCUUGGCUCUC
rnacentral:misc_RNA from 1 species